CCCGCAAGGGGGAGGGAGUGGCGGACGGGUGAGGAACACGUGGGUGACCUACCCCUAGGUGAGGAAUACCGGCGAGAAAUCGUCGACAAGACCGCAUAGGGUCGUCUGGCAGACAGGCGAGCAAAGCAUCUUUUCGCGAGAAGGGAGGUGCCUGGGGAUGGGCCUGCGUCCGAUUAGCUAGUUGGUGAGGUAAGAGCCCACCAAGGCGGCGAUCGGUAGCUGGUCUGAGAGGAUGAUCAGCCACACUGGGAUUGAGAACGGCCCAGACUCCUACGGGAGGCAGCAGUGAGGGAUUUUCGGCAAUGGGGGCAACCCUGACCGAGCGACGCCGCGUGCAGGAGGACGGUCUUCGGA
rnacentral:rRNA from 1 species